rnacentral:rRNA from 1 species
CCAGCCGUAAACUAUGCGCGUUAGGUGUAUCGGUGACCACGAGUCACCGAGGUGCCGAAGGGAAACCGUGAAACGUGCCGCCUGGGAAGUACGGUCGCAAAGGCUGAAACUUAAAGGAAUUGGCGGGGGGAGCACCACAACGGGUGGAGCCUGCGGUUUAAUUGGACUCAACGCCGGGAAGCUCACCGGAUAGGACAGCAGAAUGAUUGCCGGGCUGAAGACCCUGCAUGACUAGCUGAGAGGAGGUGCAUGGCGUAGACGUCU